rnacentral:rRNA from 1 species
UCCCAGACUCCUACGGGAGGCAGCAGUGAGGAAUAUUGGUCAAUGGACGAGAGUCUGAACCAGCCAAGUAGCGUGAAGGAUGACUGCCCUAUGGGUUGUAAACUUCUUUUAUAUGGGAAUAAGAUGUCCCACGUGUGGGAUUUUGUAUGUACCAUAUGAAUAAGGAUCGGCUAACUCCGUGCCAGCAGCCGCGGUAAUACGGAGGAUGCGAGCGUUAUCCGGAUUUAUUGGGUUUAAAGGGAGCGUAGGCCGGUCUUUAAGCGUGCCGUGAAAUUUUGUGGCUCAACCAUGAGAGUGCGGCGCGAACUGGAGACCUUGAGUGCGCGGAAGGCAGGCGGAAUUCGUGGUGUAGCGGUGAAAUGCUUAGAUAUCGCGCAGAACUCCGAUUGCGAAGGCAGCAUGCCGGCUCCACACUGACGCUGAGGCACGAAAGCGUGGGUAUCGAACAGGAUUAGAUACCCCAGUA